rnacentral:sRNA from 1 species
AACGCCACCGGGUCGACGCCCCGGGUGACCACGAGAUAGUCCCGCAUCACCGUCGAGUGGCGGGCCUC